CAGCAGCAGCCGCGGUAAUACAGAGGGUGCAAGCGUUAAUCGGAAUUACUGGGCGUAAAGCGCGCGUAGGUGGUUCGCCAAGUUGGAUGUGAAAUCCCCGGGCUCAACCUGGGAACUGCACCCAAAACUGGCGAGCUAGAGUAUGGUAGAGGGUGGUGGAAUUUCCUGUGUAGCGGUGAAAUGCGUAGAUAUAGGAAGGAACAUCAGUGGCGAAGGCGACCACCUGGACUGAUACUGACACUGAGGUGCGAAAGCGUGGGGAGCAAACAGGAUUAGAUACCCCUGUAGUCCCUGUCUCUUAUAC
rnacentral:rRNA from 1 species